rnacentral:rRNA from 1 species
AUUGAACGCUGGCGGCGUGCCUAACACAUGCAAGUCGAGCGGUAACAGGUGUAGCAAUACAUGCUGACGAGCGGCGAACGGGUGAGUAAUGCUUCGGAAUCUACCUUAUGGUGGGGAAUAACUAGCCGAAAGGUUAGCUAAUACCGCAUACGUCCUACGGGAGAAAGCAGGGGAUCGCAAGACCUUGCGCCAAAAGAUGAGCCGAAGUCGGAUUAGCUAGUUGGUAGGGUAACGGCCUACCAAGGCGACGAUCCGUAGCUGGUCUGAGAGGACGACCAGCCACACUGGGACUGAGACACGGCCCAGACUCCUACGGGAGGCAGCAGUGGGGAAUAUUGGACGAUGGGGGAAACCCUGAUCCAGCGACGCCGCGUGUGUGAAGAAGGCCUGCGGGUUGUAAAGCACUUUUAGUGGGGAUGAAAUGUGCAGGGUUAAUACCUCUGCAUUUUGACCUAACCCACAGAAAAAGCACCGGCUAACUCUGUGCCAGCCGCCGCCGUAA